rnacentral:rRNA from 1 species
CAAUGGUUCUAUUUUGUUGGUUAUAAGCCAUCGUAAUGAUUAAUAGGGACGGUCGGGGGCAUCAGUAUUCAGUAGUCAGAGGUGAAAUUCUUAGAUUUACUGAAGACUAACUACUGCGAAAGCAUUUGCCAAGGACGUUUUCAUUAAUCAAGAACGAAAGUUAGGGGAUCGAAGAUGAUCAGAUACCGUCGUAGUCUUAACCAUAAACUAUGCCGACUAGGGAUCGGGCGCGCUCACAACAGACGCGCUCGGCACCUUACGAGAAAUCAAAGUUUUUGGGUUCUGGGGGGAGUAUGGUCGCAAGGCUGAAACUUAAAGGAAUUGACGGAAGGGCACCACCAGGAGUGGAGCCUGCGGCUUAAUUUGACUCAACACGGGGAAACUCACCAGGUCCAGACACAAUAAGGAUUGACAGAUUGAGAGCUCUUUCUUGAUUUUGUGGGUGGUGGUGCAUGGCCGUUCUUAGUUGGUGGAGUGAUUUGUCUGCUUAAUUGCGAUAACGAACGAGACCUUGGCCUCUAACUAGGGUGCGCAGCGGUAGCUACGCGACCUUCUUAGGGGGACUAUUGAUGUAAGUCGAUGGAAGUUCGAGGCAAUAACAGGUCUGUGAUGCCCUUAGACGUUCUGGGCCGCACGCGCGCUACACUGACGGAGGCAGCGAGUUGACCUUUGCCGAGAGGCAUGGGAAAUCUUGAAACUCCGUCGUGC